CUAGGCCUCCGUUAUGACCCG
rnacentral:siRNA from 1 species